CAGCGAGAAUGCAGAAAGCCAGGACUUAAACGUGUAGGGACCCUCCUCUCUCCCCGCCAGAUAUCAGCAAUGCGGUUCCGGGAAUCUGCCCAUUCUGAGGAACAAACGAGGUCCUCCCUUCGGGACGCGCCGGGUCAGCUGCCGGAGGCUCGGCUCGGCCGAUAGCUCGCGGGGCAGCGCUGCGUCGUCCGGACAGCCCGCGGAGGCUCCUGCCGCGGGGAGAGGCCUCCGGGUCCUCGGAGCCCCGCAGCAGUGGAGUGGAGCCCCGCCACCAAGGUGAAGAAACUGAGGCCCAGAGGUGCUAGCAGCAGUGGUGCUUUCUUAUCUUAUCAUCUUGAGUAGUUAUUCUGAAGCUGACCCUUUAUAUAUCACAGCGGCUGACAAUUGUUGGUCUUGUCUGCAUGGGCAAAUCUGGGCCACCUCUACAUUCCCAUUCUGUUCAUAGGAAGAAUAUAGAAUGAAAGUGGAAAGCAAGCAAUUUCC